rnacentral:rRNA from 1 species
AAAUUGAAGAGUUUGAUCAUGGCUCAGAUUGAACGCUGGCGGCAGGCCUAACACAUGCAAGUCGAACGGUAACAGGAAGCAGCUUGCUGCUUUGCUGACAAGUGGCGGACGGGUGAGUAAUGUCUGGGAAACUGCCUGAUGGAGGGGGAUAACUACUGGAAACGGUAGCUAAUACCGCAUAACGUCGCAAGACCAAAGAGGGGGACCUUCGGGCCUCUUGCCAUUGGAUGUGCCCAGAUGGGAUUAGCUAGUAGGUGGGGUA